rnacentral:lncRNA from 1 species
UGUAUAUACAGAAUCACGCAGUACUAAGGCUUUGCUUUGAACUGGCAGCUGUGAAGUUAGCAGCAACCAUGCCAGGACAGCAGCACAGAGCCUGGCUGACCAGCAUGGUACUGGGGCCCUGGGCAUCCCCAAGUGAAGGAGUGCCCAGCUUCGGUGUUUAUGCCCUGUGUGAUUAAGAGUGAUAAUUUAGUAAUCCUCUUAAGAGCAAAUGUCUCUUAAAGGCUUGCUGUAAGUUCCCGGUCUCACUGGUUGUCUGCAGCUGUUAUUCUAGCAUUGGUGCUUGUUGCACUUGAUAGAGCUAUGUGUAGGCUGAUGUCUUACUAAGAUGGUGGAAGCUUGAACCAUUCGCCUAUAUAAUGAAAAAGCAAAUGCUUUUCCAGAAAUUAGUGGCUGUUAAGCAGAGGGGAGGUAUCUCCUCAGCUGACAUUGUUGUAGCUGUUGCAGACCUGGUUGUCUAUAGAACCUGGAACAGGCAAUUAUGUAAUCUGAAUGUGUUUCCUUUUACACCUCUUCCUGCCCCUCUGCUCUGCAGUGCUGAAGCCUCACCUGCAGUACUGUGUCCAGAUGUGGAGUCCUCAGUACAGGAGAGACAUAGACCUGUUGGAGCAUGUCCAGAGGAGGGCCACAAAAAUGAUCCAAGGGAUGGAACACCUCUCCUAUGAGGACAGACUGAAAGAGCUGGAGCUGUUCAGCCUGGAGAACAGAAGGCUCUGAAGCCGUCUGAGAGGGAGGCGUGCGCCGUGCACCCACGUGCCCGCGGAGGAUACGAGGCGCUUCUGGCUGUUCUUCAGAACGGCAGAGAGAAUAA